GAUCCUGGCUCAGAUUGGACGCUGGCGGCAGGCCUAACACAUGCAAGUCGAGCGGAUGAAGAGAGCUUGCUCUCUGAUUCAGCGGCGGACGGGUGAGUAAUGCCUAGGAAUCUGCCUGAUAGUGGGGGACAACGUUUCGAAAGGAACGCUAAUACCGCAUACGUCCUACGGGAGAAAGCAGGGGACCUUCGGACCUUGCGCUAUCAGAUGAGCCUAGGUCGGAUUAG
rnacentral:rRNA from 1 species